rnacentral:lncRNA from 1 species
AUAAAUUUUCUGUCUUGUUAAAAUAGAUGCAUCAUCAUAUAUUAACAGGUGAAACACUUUUGUUCAACAAUUGUUUCAUAUCUUAUCUUUCAUUUCUCCUUUCAUAAUCACAUGAUUUUUAACAGUUUUCUUCUGGCUCUGGACUAUCCAAGUCUAUACCUCAAUCAUCAUCCGGAUCGAAUCCACUUAAAAAAGUCUUUCAAGACUGUCCCAGG